rnacentral:sRNA from 1 species
UUUUAGCCCCGAUCGAAGGGAAAAUCCUUUUUUUUGCCGAUUUUUCAUCGGCUAAAAAAAGAUUGGAAUGAGAGCGGGAACCCAU